CCCUGCCCUGUCCUGUCCUGUCCUGCCCUGCCCUGCCCUGUCCUGCCCAAACCAACAUGCUCUCCUGUGUUAGGUGGGUGAGACUGGAGAGGGACCCUCAGCAACUAGGAUGACAUGAUACUAAUUAUACAGUAUAUUGUAAAUCAAAAGACACAGUUAACUUUAGCUCAAUAGGACAGUGCUAUCAUAAUAUGUAUUUAUGUGGACUGCUUUGUUUUUGUUGGCCAGAUUCUGCGUGGCUGCAGUGUACUAUGGGCUCUGCAGGAUUGAUUCACAGUUUGAACCGCAGCAGUAGUAUAAUCCCUGCAUCCACAAUAAAAAGGUACCGGUAUGCACAUCAUUUUCCCAGUGUCACUGAAAUGAUUGUUAUCACCCAGCCACACUCUGAGAUGCCCGUUAUGCAAGCAGCAGGGGGCUGCUGUUUUAGCAGAAUGUCACAUACGCCUACAGUUGUACCUCUCUGCUUGACUGCACAGAGACAUGUCCUGCCUAGCCCUGAAUUGGUGUGUGUGCAUGUGCGCGUGUGUAUUUGCAGAUGCUGUACCUAAUUUCCAGACUAAUGCCAGAUGCGAGGAGGUUGCCGAUUUGAAGCGAGUGGGGAAUCUGAGCAUGUGGAGGCAGACAGACAGGGUGAGCAGGAGAAUCAUGGGUUGUGGAAGAGUGUUUCUGACACAAAUACGACUAGGAGGAAAUCUGACUUGGCGCUAUGGAAACACGCCCCCCUUCCGUCUCCUAGUAAAACUCCCAGAAUACCAGUUGUCAUUUUCAGAGUGGCUUGCAGCUGAACUCAGAGUGCAAAGGAGUGAGGAUGCCCUGUCUGACCCAGAUAAGUGAAGCACAUGCCUUAAUAAGCAACACACAGAUUCAUUUUGGUAUAUAUUGAUGUGUUGAAUAUGUAACAGAGCCUGUGUGCAGACGGGGUCAGUAUUGGACUGAUCUGUAAUCCAGAUCAUUCUAAUUAUCCAAUAGACAUUGUUGAAGUCAGUUCAGUAUCAGUAUUGUUUGAAAUCAGAGUGAAGAGGACUCUGGACUGUGAGACCAUCAUGGAAUAUAUCAACUAGUAUCAGGUGUGUCCAUAUGGGGGUUAAGAGAGGGAGGGACUAUAACAGAGCAGGAUGAUUCAGUUAGCUACAGUCUGAAUACAUGUGUGAAUCCAUAGUUCAAUUCUCAUCAUGACCAAACCUGUCGAAAUCAAGACCCUUAUUUAUUUUUACAGAAAUACUAUGAUGUUUCCCAGAUUUGAUUAUUAUUGUUAUUCUGCGUUUCUUUGUGUAUCAGAAGAAGGGCAGCUUCCAAGCUGGCCUGCUGCACUACCAUCUCACAGCACACUUCUUAACAGUAAAUUGGUUCCAUUCUUAGAUUAUUAACUGUACUGCUAUAGACAUGGGUAGGCCGUCUUAACAACAUAUUGUGAUCUUUAUCAUAAGAAAUUGGAAUAUCUUCCCUCUUUUUAUUUUUCAUAGGCUGUGCUCGUGGCAGGGGCUGUCCCCUGAGCUGUAACUGUCCAUCAGGAGAAGUGAACAAAACCAAAUCCCUGAUCAGUCUUCACUGUCCACUGCUCCUCGUCUCUGCUAGUGUACAGUACAUUAUACUACCAGGAACACAUCUGAUUGUUAGUCUGAGUUCAAAGAAGGGGUGUCAUGCCCUGUUCCCUCUGCCCCGCCCCUCCUCCUGGCAGCCUGUCUGCACUGUGUAUGGGAGGGCCAGGGGAGUGGCCAGGGGAUUGGCCAGGGCAUCAGGACAAGCCUGGAGAUGUUGGGACAGCUGGCAGAGCAGCACAGACAGGUACACUUAACACAUUUUUGGCAUAUAGCAGAUGCUCUUAUCCAGAGCAUUUGUCAGUGCAUUCAUCUUAAGAUGGGACAACCACAUAUCACAGUUAUACCUGGUCCCCCAUCUUAACUCUGAGAUGUUGGAGAGGACAUUGAAGGCCCCAGGGUUCCUGUGCUCUGCUACUCAUCCCUUAUCAAGCUCUUUAUGGAUGGCCAGACUUCUUUCCCUGCGACCGAGCACCCAACUGAUGAGAUGGACCCCUCCCAGAUUCUGACCCGGGCCCAGUAGGUGCUUCUGAAGACUCUCUGACAUCCCCAACAUCAGCUGAACCAGCUGGAGGUCUUAUGUGUUGACCUGGACCUGGCAGCAGCUCUGGUCUUUCAACUCAGCCCUUCCAGCCUCAGCCAAGAGUUGGACUUCUUCUGCGUUAGGAAAGUAUUCAGACCCCUUGACUUUUUUCAUAUUUUGUUACAUUACAGCCUUAUUCUAAAAUGGAUUCGUUUUUCCCCUUCAAUCUACACACAAUAGCCCAUAAUGACAAAGCAAAAAAUAUAUAUCACAUUUACAUAAGUAUUCAGACCCUUUACUCAGUACUUUGUUGAAGCACCUUUGGCAGCGAUUACAGCCUUGAGUCUUCUUGGGUAUGACGUUACAAGCUUGGCACACCUGUAUUUGGGGAGUUUCUCCCAUUC